rnacentral:piRNA from 1 species
CAUCUCCCCGGAUGAGGACAGCAGCA